rnacentral:rRNA from 1 species
CAAGUCGAACGGUCUCUUCGGAGAUAGUGGCGGACGGGUGAGUAACGCGUGAGAAUCUAGCUCUAGGUCGGGGACAACCACUGGAAACGGUGGCUAAUACCGGAUGUGCCGGAAGGUGAAAGAUUUAUUGCCUAGAGAUGAGCUCGCGUCUGAUUAGCUAGUAGGUGUGGUAAGAGCGCACCUAGGCGACGAUCAGUAGCUGGUCUGAGAGGAUGAUCAGCCACACUGGGACUGAGACACGGCCCAGACUCCUACGGGAGGCAGCAGUGGGGAAUUUUCCGCAAUGGGCGAAAGCCUGACGGAGCAAUACCGCGUGAGGGAGGAAGGCUCUUGGGUUGUAAACCUCUUUUCUCAGGGAAGAAAAAAAUGACGGUACCUGAGGAAUAAGCAUCGGCUAACUCCGUGCCAGCAGCCGCGGUAAUACGGAGGAUGCAAGCGUUAUCCGGAAUGAUUGGGCGUAAAGCGUCCGCAGGUGGCUAUGUAAGUCUGCUGUUAAAGAGUGAGGCUCAACCUCAUAAGAGCAGUGGAAACUACAUAGCUAGAGUGCGUUCGGGGCAGAGGGAAUUCCUGGUGUAGCGGUGAAAUGCGUAGAGAUCAGGAAGAACACCGGUGGCGAAAGCGCUCUGCUAGGCCGCAACUGACACUG